rnacentral:lncRNA from 1 species
CUAAAUGUUUUAAUAAACUAGUUACUCCGGGUACUGUAAGUACCGGAGUAUUAAAAUGUCAGAUCUUUUUUCUUAGGCGACACAAGUGUGCACUUCCACAGGUGCACCGUACGCAGCGCACGCAACGCACUACAAAAAUACGAAAUAUCUAAAAAUAGCCGCCAUUUGUAGUAAGGUCGGAGCGAGCGUUGUGUUUACAAUGUAUUUAGUUCUAUUUACAGUAAAUAUUAUCAAAUGAAGCGUUCUCAUACACUCGUUUUUAUACAGUGACCACAGUUCAUAUAAAUACAAAUCGAAAUUCGAGACUUUAUCACGUGUUUAGUAGCGGUUGCCGUUAUUGCAAAGCUAGUUCUGAUGGACAAAUGGCUUGGUUCGUCACUGACGUUAGCCUGUAUUUUUUAAUUGUGUCAACACUAUACGUAGUUAAAUUGUAUUAACACUCGUAACGCGUUCCAAAGAAUUUUGAACAAUUCCAAACUUGUGAUUUUCCGCACAUUUUCAUGAAAUUAACAAAAAUCCGCAGCGUGAUGGGUUUUUUUAAAGAAAUAAGCUGUUUUUGGCAGACACCAUUUGAUUGUCUGCAAGAACUUCCUUUUUCUAUCAAAUCAAGAUUCCACAAUACGAUAAGCUGAGCACAAAAUAUACUGGUGGCUGAAUUUCAGACAGACCUAUAUGUGGAUGCAAAAUAUAGGCGCGUCUGAAAUUCAGACACCGGUAUAUCUUGCAUCCUGACAUAGGGGAUAUCUGGAUACGAAAUAUACUGGUGUCUGAAUUUCAGACAGACCUAUAUGUGGAUGCAAAAUAUAGGCACGUCUGAAAUUCAGACAUCCGUAUAUCUGAGCACAAAAUAUACUGGUGUCUGAAAUUCAGACAGACCUAUAUGUGGAUGCAAAAUAUAGGCGCGUCUGAAAUUCAGACACCGGUAUAUCUUGUUUCCUGACAUAGGAGUGUCUAAAUUUCAGAUACCCCUAUAUCUGGAUACGAAAUAUACUGGUGUCUGAAUUUCAGACAGACCUAUAUGUGGAUGCAAAAUAUAGGCGCGUCUGAAAUUCAGACACCGAUAUAUCUUGUUUCCUGACAUAGGAGUGUCUAAAUUUCAGACACCCCUAUAUCUGGAUACGAAAUAUACUGGUGUCUGAAUUUCAGACAGACCUAUAUGUGGAUGCAAAAUAUAGGCACGUCUGAAAUUCAGACAGCCGUAUAUCUGAGCACAAAAUAUACUGGUGUCUGAAAUUCAGACAGACCUAUAUGUGGAUACAAAAUAUAGGCGCGUCUGAAAUUCAGACAUCCGUAAAUCUGGAUGCAAGAUAUACAAGCGUCUGGAAUUCAGAUUACUUUGUGUAAUACAAAUAUAAGUGAAACAUAAUAAUAAAAUAAGUGAUAAUACAAGUGUUACAAAGUCUCAAAUAAAUAUUAACGACAUAGUAGUUUCUAUAUUUCUUAUAGAUGAAGUGUUUGAAGAACACAGAAAAAAUGUACAAUUACAAAAUUAGCGUCAUUAUUGAAUAGUAAUGAAUAAUAAAGGCUUAUAGACCAAUUGCAAAACUUAGUGACCGCGCCUUAAACUGCACGAAUACGAGGCUUAUUAGGCAAAAACAAAUCAUUCUGCUAUAUUUUUAUAUGCCGAAAAAUAAAUUUUGGUGUUUGAGACGCGUUUUUACGGUAAUCUCUUCAUUUUUUUUCAAUAUUUUUGUUUUGACUAUGUAAAUCUAUAUUAAACUUGGUCAUAGAUUUAGUCUUACUUCAAAUUUCAUUGUUUUUCGCGGCAUGCGAGACAAAGUUUUUCUGUUUUUCGCCGUCCGAUAAAAGAAGCAGAUUAUACAAGAGAAAGAAUCAGCUAUUUUCCGUCUGUUUUAUUAAUACAUUUCAAAGAAUAAGUUGUAGCAUUGAUUAAUUUUGUUUGAGUUGUAAUAUAAUAGCAAAUUUUCGAUUUUAACUUUAAAAAUCAAAUGGAUUCUAGAAAACACACUUUAAAAACCCUAAAAUUCACUUUACGCUCUAUAAAAAUAUAGACAUUGUUUUGUUUUUUCAUAAUAAGCCUCGUUCUUGUGCAGUAUGAAGGCGCGGCCACUAAUUGGUCUAUUGACCGAGCGUGAGGUCUGUACUAUCAACUAAGGUAUUUGCAUCAGUUACUGUCUGAUCAGGCUCAGUUACUGUCUGAUCAGGUCCACAACCUUCUUGACCUUCAUUGGAAACUGUUUCACCAUGAGUAAUUUUGUCCAAUAUUUCGUUGCACUUUUUUGCCCAUUCAUGUUCAUCAGCAGGUGCUACAAUAUCUCUGAAUAGGCCAUCACUUGAUGACCAGUCAUAUUUAGAGAUUUGAAAGAAGCUGGUACUUCUCUUAUUUCCAUGUCCAGGUGUAAAGGAGAGCUAUUGCAAAAAAUAACACACAUGUAAACUCAGUUAAAUGG